GCAAUUUUUGCUGGUCAAACCAUGGGCAUCACCAGACACUUUUUACUGGGGCACGUGCUCUAGUAUUCAUGCUCUGUGCCCCAGUAACAAGGUCCAGACACCUUGGCAUCGUUUUUUGGAUGUGUAGGGAUCCGCAGUCAAGUUAGCAUUAAACAUCUGCAACAUACGGUCAAGUUAGCAAUAAUAAAAACGCAACGUCCAGUUACGCAACAUGAAACGCCCGUUGCUACUGUUGUGAUACGUCGUACAAAAAAACUAGUCAAAAGUGAAAGCGAGCAUCUACAACAUUGAUGUGAGGAUGACGAGGGACUAUCCUUCUGGGCUCAAGAAUUUUCGGGAACAGCAGUCAGAUGAGUGUUGAUGCCUGCUCAGCCUCUAAUGUGCUAGAGGUGAAAAAUGAGGUUGACGCAGACAUGGUUAACUAUAAUGCCAAGGCGGAUGCCACCCGAUAGCAGCCAGACACCUGAGAGAGCAGGCCUGGGUCCAGCUCCCCACUCACCCCCCUCUCCACUUAUAUUAUUCAUCCCUCUUUCAAAUGCCUUUUAUGCUGCUCAAUUACCCCUCCAGCGGCCCAGUGUGGACACUGUAAUGACAUUCUGAUUAUCAGUCUGUAAAUGAGAAAUGAAAUGAGUGUGUGAUGCCGUGCCAGGGGAAGAAUGGAACGGCUAGAAGCCUUUCAAAAAUGGAAGCUGUGGAGGAGGGUGGAGGGAGGACAGAGGGAGGGAUGAGUGCAGCACUCUGGUGAUCAUCGACAAGACGAUAAAAAGAGGAAACAUUUUGUAACACACUGCAAAUGUAUGAAAUUACACUUUAGAAUUUAAUUGCCCCCUAUUCAAGGCUUCACCGUGUGCUUUAACAAUGCAAGGAGAUCCUUUAUGUUUUCAAACAAUCAGUCGGGUAGACAGAAGCGGUGUUGCAAUUGAAAAUAUGUCCAAUCAUCUCUGAGAGCUUAAACAGAAGAUAUCCUCUUCAUAUGCUGAAUUGGGCUGAAUGGAGAAAUAAAAUGUCCCACUUGCACCGCUUGUAACUUAAAUAUUAGACUACACCUGUCUCUUUGGCUCGUCAAACAUUGAGCUAAAAUGGCAAAUGCCUAGAAAAAGAAAAUACCAUCACCUCGAGAUAAGACAUUGUUGAAACAAAUUUACCACUCCAAUGAAAAAGACAGGGUCAAAGUUUACUCAGUAAAUGUAUAUGUAAAUGAGAGUCAGCACACCAUACUGUACCUCAACUAUGACUGCCAGUGAGUUUAAUGAAAAAUAAAUGUUGAUUCAAGUCCGUUUCGGUGAAGGAUCCUUACAGAUUCUGACAAAUACUGUAGUUAA